UUCAGUCUGCCGGGCGGUGGCCUGCUCCCUCUCGAGCCGCCCGCCGCUUAUCCCGUCUGCUGCCGCUCGCCGCCUGCCGCCCGCCGCUUAUCCCAUCUCCUGCCGCUCUACCGCCGCCCCAGCGCCUCUAUAAGAUGAUCCCCGGCCUCGCUUAUCCACAAGCGGCCGCGGAGGGGCUCGGCUGCCGAGCCGCCACCAGGGGGCGUACCGGCGAGGGGUUGCGUCCACCUUGCCGUCGAGUGCCUCCUCCCCUCCGGCCGCCCCGAUUCCCUCUUCAUCCUCCAGCUCCAGCCCAACCCCGACACCCCGGACGUCAGGCGGGUCUUCCGUCGCCUAGCCAACCUCCUGGCCCCUCGGCGCGAUCCCCAUCCCCGGCUGACACCGCCCUUCGCGCCGUUGAAGAGGCCUUUGCCCACCUCUUGGAGAGCACCUCCACCAGCGCCGGUUUCGCUCCUGCUGCUCCCGGCGGCGUUUCCGUCUCAGAGAUGUGCUCUGGACGGUCUGCCCCCACUGCUGCCAUGUGCAUGAGUACGAGCGCAUGCUGGUGGGGUGUUUGCUUGGGUGCUCGAACCCCUGGUUCAUGUGCGUGUUCGUGGCUACCUAGCCCGCGCGGCUGCCCUCUCCCUGCUCGCCGGUCGCCGCCGCUCGGGUUGUUCGCGCAGGCUAAGCCACGGAUUGUGUACAAAAUAUUCACAACAAAGCAACGAUCAAACAGAGAUCCAGUUACAGCAAAGAUGCGAAAAUUGAGUAGUCAAUAUAGCAGGUGCAGUGUGAACUCCUGUUUUCCCGUAGUAACUUCAGAAAAAAGUCUCUCUACCUGGGUUAAGAAAUUCAGAACUUUACAGUGAGCAGAAUGUGGACCUUAUAAGGUCUACACAUGCAAGAUUCAGGAAUUGGAAACGGAAGUAACACGGCAGAAGUUCUCCACUGGGCUCAAGGGGAUGAAUUGGUUAACUACAGAGAGCUUCAACAUGGUGGCAACCUGGAAAUGAGAGGAAGUGGAAGGACAGAAGGUACGCUUCUGCAAAAUCCAAGUUCUCAGGAGUAUCUCACAAAUGAGUCAUCAUAGGUGAGAGAUGUCUCAUCCAGCCGGACGAUAUUAUUGACUAUUUAAUAGCAGCUGACCAAUAGUUUUGGUAAUUAGAGAAGAAGACAAUUCCACAGAAGCAAAGCCAGUUCAUUGCUGAGUAGCUCCGGAGAGUGUCAACGUAUGUGCCCAAACUCAAUAGAACAAGCACUAACGAUAGCAGAACUUGAAAAAUCCAGGAGAUGGCUGCUCUCACCAUAUAGUUCAAAGGUUCACUAUCCAAUGAUGCUAUUUAUGUUUAGGGUACUUGCUGUAUAACUGGUUAUAACAGAUAUGUUGUUUUGUGAUGACAUAUCUUUAGGAAAGAACAUUCAAAUAGAGAAAUUUUGUUGUGUUAGAUUUUUAUUAUUACCAAGUAUACGAGUUUGCUCUAGUCUCAAAGUAUUACAGUUAUACGUGAAUAUGAUAAUCAAUUGCAUGUUUGUGAAGAACAGAGGCCUGUAAGUGUGGCGGUAUGGCCUCUUUCUAGAGACAUACUUGACUGCUUAUUAAGUUGUGGGUUGUUUUUUGACAGAUAUAUUUUCUCACUUUCUUACAACAACUUAGUCUCCAGUUAUUGUACAAGUCUGGUGCGCAAGUGUUGUUUUGUUCCAUCUUCAGUUUGAUUAUUUUUUUUUUUUGGCGAGAAAAGU